rfam:Cavia porcellus supercont2_15 genomic scaffold, whole genome shotgun sequence.
GGAUGUGAGGGUGAUCUGACUGCACCCCAUUGGUUGUUGGAUUGAUUUGGCUGAUCUGGCUGGUGAGGAGGGUGUCCCCUUCCUCUCUCAGUGCUCCAUGUGUGUCCCUUUAGAAGCUGUGUGAAGAGGAUGACUACUUGCAGUGGAGGAGGACUGUUAACACCUCAGGACUGCACGGAGGCACCAAAGCUAGAGAUUUUUUAACUGAAGGUUAUCCAAGGAAUGGCUACACCAUGUGGCCUUUCUCAUUCUUUCCUGCUUUUUAGAUGCAGAAAG